AGCGAACGCUGGCGGCAGGCUUAACACAUGCAAGUCGAGCGGGCAUCCUUGUGGUGUCAGCGGCAGACGGGUGAGUAACGCGUGGGAACGUGCCCUUCGGUUCGGAAUAACUCAGGGAAACUUGAGCUAAAACCGGAUACGUGCGAGAGCAGAAAGGUUUAUCUGCCGAAGGAUCGGCCCGCGUCUGAUUAGCUAGUUGGUGAGGUUAUGGCUCACCAAGGCGACGAUCAGUAGCUGGUCUGAGAGGAUGAUCGGCCACACUGGGACUGAGACACGGCCCAGACUCCUACGGGAGGCAGCAGUGGGGAAUAUUGGACAAUGGGGGCAACCCUGAUCCAGCCAUGCCGCGUGAGUGAUGACGGCCUUAGGGUUGUAAAGCUCUUUUCUCCGGGACGAUAAUGACGGUACCGGAGGAAUAAGCCCCGGCUAACUUCGUG
rnacentral:rRNA from 1 species